CAGUAGCCGCGGUAAUACGAAGGGUGCAAGCGUUACUCGGAAUUACUGGGCGUAAAGCGUGCGUAGGUGGUGGUUUAAGUCCGUCGUGAAAGCCCUGGGCUCAACCUGGGAAUUGCAGUGGAUACUGGGUCACUAGAGUGUGGUAGAGGAUAGUGGAAUUUCCGGUGUAGCAGUGAAAUGCGUAGAGAUCGGAAGGAACAUCUGUGGCGAAGGCGACUAUCUGGGCCAACACUGACACUGAGGCACGAAAGCGUGGGGAGCAAACAGGAUUAGAUACCCCUGUAGUCCCUGUCUCUUAUAA
rnacentral:rRNA from 1 species